rnacentral:rRNA from 1 species
UGGCCGUAAACGAUGUGGACUUAGGUGUUGGAAUGGCUCCGAGCUGCUCCAGUGCCGAAGGGAAGCUGUUAAGUCCACCGCCUGGGAAGUACGGUACGCAAGACUGAAACUUAAAGGAAUUGGCGGGGGAGCACCACAACGCGUGGAGCCUGCGGUUUAAUUGGAUUCAACGCCGGACAUCUCAUCAGGGCGACAGCAGAAUGACGGCCAGGUUGAUGACCUUGCUUGACAAGCUGAGAGGAGGUGCAUGGCGUGUGACUGU